UACGUAGGUGGCAAGCGUUGUCCGGAUUUACUGGGCGUAAAGAGCGCGCAGGCGGUCGUUCAAGUCGAGUGUGAAAGCCCCGGCUCAACUGGGGAGGGUCACUCGAUACUGAUCGACUCGAAGGCAGAAGAGGGAAGCGGAAUUCCCGGUGUAGUGGUGAAAUGCGUGGAUAUCGGGAGGAACACCAGUGGCGAAGGCGGCUUUCUGGUCUGCUCUUGACGCUGAGGCGCGAAAGCUAGGGUAGCAAACGGG
rnacentral:rRNA from 1 species